AAGACUAUAGACCUGCGGAGUACCUGCGGAAGGAUCAUUCACGACAAGUGUUUAUGGCACUUGAACAAAUCCAUAUCCACCUUGUGUGCAACGUUGAGACGGUACUCCUUUCUUUCCAUUUUGGUGGCGAGGAAACGGGGGGAGGACGGUCUUGUCUCUUUAAUAUUUUAACGUAGCUUUGAACAAGUUUGUCUGAAGGGGUAUAUUUACCGUAGAAUUAUGACCUAAUUCGAAAUACAA
rnacentral:misc_RNA from 1 species